AUGGUCUCUACUUUUGAAGAGUUUAAGUUUAGCAACAUAUGCAAAAUAAUGCUUGGUGUGACACAGACCAUAUCCUCCAAGAGUGGGAGAGCAGAUUGCUGACAGAAGUACAAAGUGGGCUGGAUUCACAAUGCUGGCAAUGUUCAUACACUGGUGUCAAGGUCCCACUGGGGAAAGAAUGGACAUGGAGACUUGAAGAUUUCCUGGGUGGAUGCUUUAAGAAGAAAGUAUUUGCCAAGUGAGUUAUGGAGUCUAUGGAAUACGUACAGUAGGAGCUGGGAGAACAUGCUUGAAAAUGAACGUUAAAAUAUUAGACUGUGAUAAGGGAUGGGGAAUGGGAUAUAAGGCAAGAAAAGGCAGAGUAUAUUGAUAUGAGGAACUCUCCUAAGAUUCAGUAUUAAGUUCCCAGAAGAAACUCUGACUGCCCAUGGUGAAUGAAGUGCAUUUGCUAGAACGUCCUUGGAAAAUAUUAAAGAAGGGAUUAAUAGUUUAAGUUAUGUUGGUAUGUUAGAAUAGCUUUACUUUGUAAUACUAGAUAAUUAAUUAGCUAUGUUCUCUAGUGUGGUUCAGAGGGUAUGCCCUUCUCUAAAGUAAUAGAGAAUGGGAUAGUAAAGGGCACAUCAAUAUUGUUAAGUAGGUGCUAUAUCCUGCAGACUAGUUUAUGGUGGGGAAUGAGAAUUAUGGUAAUUUGUAAUUGUGGAUGUCAUGUAACAAUGCUUCACUAGCAGAUAUAUGGAUAUAAUUCUUGUAGUAGGCGGUAAGGUGAGAGUAACAACCAGGAGGCCUUGAUCUUUUUUUUUUUUUCAGUGAAAAAUCAACAAGAAAUGUUUUUAUUUAAAAAAAUCAGAUAGAGUUAUUGUAGGUAAAUAAUAAGGGGGACUCAAGCAACCUUUCAAAAGGGGCCACACAAUUUGUCACCUGAAGAUUGAAAGUCUUGUGGGUUGUUAAUAAAGUAACUCCAUUUUAUAUUGACA
rnacentral:lncRNA from 1 species